GUGGUGCAGCUCAGAUUCCACCACUAGACGGCCAUCGAGCAAAUUAUAAACCGAUUGACGGUGAAUAAGUGGUCCAUGCAAGUCGUGUGCAUGCAUGGUCUAGACAUCAUUUCGCGUAAGUCUAAGGAGCAAAUGAAGCUGUUCCAGUUGACAGGAUACAUAUUAUUCUUAUAUCACCCCUCAUAAUUCCAUCAACGUAUCAGUUCCUGUCGAUCAAAAUUUCACUCAGCUGCUAUAACCACUUUCACAAGUGUCACAAGUGAUCUGUAGUUUGACAUCUCGGAGAGCAAGAACUAUAUGCGCCGCCACUUAAGGCGAUAGGAUGUUAUUGAUAGUACGUGCAUAGGUCGGUACCUCUGGCCAUUAAUCUACAUAAUGACAAACAUGCGUGAGGUGGACCACUUGAACGCCGUAUAACUAGUGGUUGUAAUCUAAGCUAAGUGGUUUUUUUUCGCAAGUUAUCAUGACAAGUGAAAACCAUUUAGCGCACACCUCAAGCUAGGGUCCAAUCAAGUAUACCCCGAGCACGCAGCAGACAUUCCGCAGCUCAGCUAGCCACCUAGUCUAAAGCAGAACAAUGUUCUGAGUGCUAAAUAGGUGAGCCAGUUAAAAAGAAAAGAAAUUAGUCCGUCAGUUUUAUAUUUCCAUUUGUGGUACUUACUGAUCAGAGGACUCCCAUCAAGCAAUAAUGCGGAUUGAUCCGCAAAACCAAAUUCUACAUGUCUUUGAAUGACCCUAGUCGCGUCAUACAUGAAAAAGUGAGAA
rnacentral:lncRNA from 1 species